ensembl:lncRNA
UUCCGGCUUCCGGCACGGCACGGGCCAGCCGAACCAGGGCCGGCGCACCGCCCGGGGAACCGGCACCGCCCGGGGAACCGGCACCGUCCGGGGAACCGGCACUGUCCGGGAACAGCACACCGCCCGGGGAACCGGCACUGUCCGGGGAACCGGCACUGUCCAGUGCCAGCACACCGCCCGGGGAGCCGGCACUGUCCAUGGCCCGCACACCGCCCGGGAACCCUACACGGCCCGGGGACCAUCACAUCACCUAGAGAACGCUGCCCGGGAGCUCCAGCACUGCCGGGGAACACCGACACUGCUCAGGGAACGCAGACACCACCUGGGGCCCCCACAGCGCCUUGGGCACCCCAGCACUGCCCAGGACCCCCCUCACACCAUCCAGGGAACCCAGCACUGCCCGGGACCCCCUCACACCAUCCAGGGAACCCAGCACUGCCCGGGACCCCUCACACCAUCCAGGGAACCCAGCACUGCCCGGGACCCCCUCACACCACCCGGAGCCCUCAACGCCCGGCCCAGCCUGGGACCCCCAACACUGCCCAGGACUCCCAACAUCAUGCUCAGCCCAAAGCCUCAGCACCCCCCAGGACCCCACCAGCACCUGUCCCUCCGCUGCCCCAAAUACCCCUCAGGGCCCCCCAACACCACCCUGGGACCCCCAGCACUGCCCUGGGCCCACCAAGACUGUCCCAGGGUCCCCAACACUGCCCUGGGACCACCAAUGCUGUCCCAGGACCCGCCAACACCUAAGCCAGCCCCAGGGCCUCCCAGUGCUGCAAACAUCCCUCAGGACCUCCAACAGCCCCCCAACACCCACAUCCCUCCCCGCUGGCACCCCAAUGUCCCACUGAAACCCCCUGCACAUGUUUCAGCCCAGAAUAUGGAGACCCUCUUUUUCAGCACCCGUCUCAGUCCAUGAUUAUCUUCAACCCAGACCAGCCUGAGCCUCCCCUGGAUCAUCAGAGCUCCUCAGAACCCCAAAGACCCAUCCCAGCCCCCUUCUGAGCCCAUAAAUACCUUGAGACCACCCCCAGCAACUGCCUGACCCCAUCAUUACACACAGACACCCCACCAGUACCUACCUGAGCCCAGAAACACCUGGAAACCACACCCCAGCACCUGCCUGAUCCCCCAUCACUCACAGACCCUCCCCAAAAAACACCCGACCCCCAGGUCCCCACCAUCACCUUAAGACAUCCCACACAGCACCCACAUGAACCCUCAGCAUCUUCCUGAGCCCACAGAAAACACAAGACCUCCCAGAACCCCCAAAAUCUUUCACAGCCACAUUCCACAGCAUCCCUAACACCUCCCUCCACCCCGCAGCACCCCAUUAGUCACCAGUAUCACCCUACAGCCCACCCCAGACCCUCCAGCACCUGCUGGGACACCCACACAGUGCCCCCUUGAACCCCACUUAUCCCCAGCCCCAUGGGGGACACGGGUUCCCAUUCCCACAGGCCAAGUGACAAGCACUGAGCCCACCCCCUAAAAAAAUGUGGGAAAAUCCUAAAAACUGGGGCAAAGGCUUUGAGGGGUAAAGGGCUGGAGAUAAGGCAAGAGAAGGUCCCUGGAGGCACCCCUGGCAUGAAAAGUUUGAGAGAAUGCAGGAGCAAGGAGUCUCAGCCUCACCCUGGUCUCAGACAUGAGCUUCAGUCCUUAACUGCAAUUAAACAUAUUUUCAGUCAGCUCUUGAUUGUGGGUGUGAUGAGUGUUUUUGGUAUCUCUCCGAUACAUUUUCAUAGAAUCCUGCAAUGGUUUGGGUUGGAAGAACCUUAAGGAUCAUCUCAUUCUGCUGCCCCUGUUCCACAAGACCAGGUCCCUUGAGAGCAACCUUGUUUAAAUUUCAGCCUUGUUUAAGUUCUCGGCCUCAACAACUUCCUGCAGCUCUGAGUUCUGCAGAUGAAUUAAACAUUGCAAGAAAAAGGACUUCCUCUACCCAGGUUUGGAUUUCCUGCCUUGUCAAUCCCAGCCCAGGGAGUGGGAUUAUCUCCUCAUCUCGAUUUUACUGCCAUUCCAGGGGAAUGGGGUGAAAUUUUGGGAGACACUCGUGGGCAAAACCCAAAUCCCAUGGCUGGGGCACUGAAAGCGGUGGUUGAGGAUUUGUUCCAGCUUGUCAGAAGCUCGUGUGGGUUCUCAGCUUCCAAGGUGGAUUCCUCCAAGCAGGACAUGGUAAAUGCCUGCUGACUUUGGGCUGGUAGCCGAGAUCUUCCCAAUCUUGGCUUGGCUGAGGCAGCUCCUCUAAUUCUUGUGGAGCACCUUGAGGAAUUUCAAACAGCUUAAAACCUGAUUAAAAAAAAAACAAAAAACAAAAAACAACAAAGCAUCCUGUGGUCCAAACAAGUAUGCAUUUCCCUCUUGCUAUUAAUAUCCCAGGCCUUGAUCCUCCUCCAAAUACUGGUGCAGGCGUUUAAUGGCUUGCAAAGGAGCGGUGCCUUUGAUCCCACAGUGGGAAUGCUUGCUGGGAUGUGAAUUAUUAAAGGUGGAAGAUGCUUUCAAGUGCAACAUGCUGCCCAUCUUUUCCAAUGUGAUUUAUUGCCUGCCUACUAUUUCAUUCUCCCAGCCUGGCAAUGAAAAAUUCAUUUCCAA